CCGCUCAAUAUUUUUGGAGACCUUGACUCCAAGUUUGAUUGACACAGCUUUCUCCAUUUCAUUCUCUCUUCCUCUCUCUUUCGCUAUAUCUCUCUCCGUUAUCUCUCUCUGUCUAUCUAAAUAGGAUAGGAUUUCAGUAGAUGUUAGCUAGAUUUUCGGAUCGAUCUGAUGGAGAGCUUCAACACUCGAUUGAGGAUUCAAUCGAAAUUAGGGUUUUUGAGUUUGAAUUAGGGAUUUUUUAUUUCUUAGUAGGUGUCUCACUUAGAGUAGUUUUAUGUCUCUAUUUCAGGGUUAAUUUGGGUGCUUCUUGGUCUCUCCCCCCUUUCUCAUUUGUUAACUUAAGAACAUGUGUGGAUGUGUUAUAUGUGUACUUGUCUGUGUAUUUUCAGGAGCCUGUGUUAAAUCAAAGUCAUAAAAGGCUUGGAUCUCUGUUCUGAGGUAACGAGCUUGUGUUAUAGAAUUUGAGCUAUUUAAUUUAUAAUUUCCAUAUUCAGUUUUGUAAUGCUAUGUGUUUUUUAGAUUUAAAUGGUUUACUGUUGAACUUCUCAUUGUUGAUAAUUACUGUUAAAAGUAUAUUGUAUAUUAUAUAAUGGAUUCAAGUAGUAGCUAUCCUGACUCCGGCCGGGAAAUUAAGUAGUAGCUAUCCUGAUUCAAGCACUUGCCCUUUUAUAAAGAAUUUUAUUUUCACACUUUUACAUGCCAGGAUGCUGUGAUUUUAUGUUUCUUGUUAGAAUCUUGGAGAUUUUAAUACGAUUUGGCCUUUCUUCUUUGGUUACUGGAUGUUUUUUAAAACAUGUGGAAACAAGACCAAGUCUCCUGGUCUUGAUGCUCAGUCUGCACUUUGUGCACUUUCUCGUUCAAGAAUGAAAAUAGGUCGCACAAGUAAUUUCUUCUUUGAUCCUAAAAAUGGUCACAGUAGACAAGAAUUUGGUGCUAGAGAAUUUUAUAAAUAUUUAUUGUUGUAUAUGCCAUUAGGUGAUGCUAUGAAAUGGUUGUAGCUCUGUUACCUGUUAGUUUUAGUUCACAUUUCUAAUUUGGUUAUUGUUACAUUCUGUAUCUUUUCCGCAAACCAGUAGACUUUGUUUAUUAAUUUUUUUGGUUCUCAUAGGCAAGAGCUUAAAAUCUUUGCUACUAAAAGGUAUAAGGCUAACUUCUACUGCUAUUUUCUUUAAGAUUAAUUAUAAUUCAAAGAUACAUUCUUUUUGAACAUAUAAAACAUAUAGAACAAUUAAUAAUUAAUACUAUUUUCUUGUCAUGUUGUUGGUAUAAUUCUGAUGGAUGAUUUUGAAAUGAAUGUGAGCAUUCUACACUAAAGAAUAUCUAGUUUGCAUUGUGUUAGCUUUCUUUACUACAUCAGUUUGCUGCAAGUCUAGUUUGCUGCAGUUUAGUUAUGCUAGUAUCCGUCAAUGUGCCGGAGAAAGUCCAGCUUCAUGUGGCCAUGUUGGCCUUGCAGUUUAGUUAUGCUGGUAUCCAUGUCCUCUUCUUACACUCUCGUUUGUUACCCAGUUCUUUCUCCUGGCUGUCGUCGGGUAAUAAGACUACAUAACCCUCCACACACAUGUAAAUAUACAAGUAAUUAUCUUUCUGAUAAUUGAAUGAAUUGAUGAGCAUUAGUUACUAACUGAAUUAUGUGACAGAAUAACCGCAAAUGAACAGAUUUGAUAUGGUUCAGGAACUUGUUUACCAACGAUGGCUUGAUUUGAGAAUCAGGAAUCUCUGACUCGGGUAAAACAGAAUCGUAACAAGUUAAGCUUUGAAUCUUACGAAGCAUAAGCAUUUUUUCAGUUGAAAGUGAUGAAAUGACUGAUACAACUGGUACAAGUUACUCCAGCAGCCAGACAAGUACUUGGAAAAUGUAUAAUAUAGCUCAGAAAUUAAAGAACUGGGGCCGUAUAAAAAAACUAUCCAGCAAGAUAUACAAAUUUUGUUUGAUGUUGUGGUCCAUCCUGUUAAUGAAGAUUAUGUGCAAAUGGCUCAAGAAUUUCACCAGGCUUGAGUUUCUUGCUAGAGGAACAGAUGACUCCUAUUGUCACAGCCUUGGAAUCACAUAUCAUGCACUUCAUUUAUGUAUGGAGAAGGGUGUAUUUUAGAGAAAAGCUAGAGGGCACAGGCUAAUUGUUGUUACGUUUAGUUGGUUUUGAAUUGUUAGGUAAUUUGAUUUGGUUGGAUUUGUUAUGAAAUUUGUAAGAAAGAAUAGUUUAUUGGGAUGUUUAAUUUAUAAAGAGUAUAUUUUCAAUUC